rnacentral:rRNA from 1 species
GACAGAGGGUGCAACGUUGCUCGGAAUUAUUGGGCGUAAAGAGCUCGUAGGCGGUCUGUCGCGUCGAUCGUGAAAACUUGGGGCUUAACCCUGAGCUUGCGGUCGAUACGGGCAUGACUGGAGUUCGGCAGGGGAGACUGGAAUUCCUGGUGUAGCGGUGAAAUGCGCAGAUAUCAGGAGGAACACCGGUGGCGAAGGCGGGACUCUGGGCCGAUACUGACGCUGAGGAGCGAAAGCGUGGGGAGCAAACAGG